CUGAGGUAAACUUGGGUACCAAGACCUUCUUGGAAGGCUUUCCAGAAAUGAGAGGUGAACUGUGUACCUCUAUCUGAAAUGAUAGACAAUGGAACUUCAUGCAAUUUGACCAACUCUCUAACAUAGAUCUUGGCGUAAUCCUUGGCUGAAUAAGAGGUAUGAUCUGGUAAGAAAUGGACUGAUUUGGUCAUCCUAUGCACAAUGACCCAAAUUGAAUCAUAC
rnacentral:lncRNA from 1 species